rnacentral:rRNA from 1 species
UACGUAGGGGGCGAGCGUUGUCCGGAGUUACUGGGCGUAAAGCGCACGCAGGCGGUCUGUGAAGUUUGGAGUGACAGUUGGUGGCUCAACCACCAAAGUGCUUUGAAAACUGAUAGACUUGAGGGCUUCAGAGGGACACGGAAUUCCGGGUGGAGUGGUGAAAUGCGUAGAGAUCCGGAGGAACACCGAAGGCGAAGGCAGUGUCCUGGGGAGUACCGUGACGCUCAGGUGCGAAAGCUAGGGGAGCGAACGGG